rnacentral:rRNA from 1 species
GGUAGAGAAUACCAAGGCGCUUGAGAGAACUCGGGUGAAGGAACUAGGCAAAAUGGCACCGUAACUUCGGGAGAAGGUGCGCCGGUGAGGGUGAAGUAUUUACUACGUAAGCCCAUGCCGGUCGAAGAUACCAGGCCGCUGCGACUGUUUAUUAAAAACACAGCACUCUGCAAACACGAAAGUGGACGUAUAGGGUGUGACGCCUGCCCGGUGCCGGAAGGUUAAUUGAUGGGGUUAGCGCAAGCGAAGCUCUUGAUCGAAGCCCCGGUAAACGGCGGCCGUAACUAUAACGGUCCUAAGGUAGCGAAAUUCCUUGUCGGGUAAGUUCCGACCUGCACGAAUGGCGUAACGAUGGCGGCGCUGUCUCCACCCGAGACUCAGUGAAAUUGAAAUCGCUGUGAAGAUGCAGUGUAUCCGCGGCUAGACGGAAAGACCCCGUGAACCUUUACUAUAGCUUUGCACUGGACUUUGAAUUUGCUUGUGUAGGAUAGGUGGGAGGCUUUGAAGCGUGGACGCUAGUCUGCGUGGAGCCAAUCUUGAAAUACCACCCUGGCAACUUUGAGGUUCUAACUCUGGUCCGUUAUCCGGAUCGAGGACAGUGUAUGGUGGGUAGUUUGACUGGGGCGGUCUCCUCCUAAAGAGUAACGGAGGAGUACGAAGGUGCGCUCAGCGUGGUCGGAAAUCACGCGUAGAGUAUAAAGGCAAAAGCGCGCUUAACUGCGAGACCCACAAGUCGAGCAGGUACGAAAGUAGGUCUUAGUGAUCCGGUGGUUCUGUAUGGAAGGGCCAUCGCUCAACGGAUAAAAGGUACUCCGGGGAUAACAGGCUGAUACCGCCCAAGAGUUCAUAUCGACGGCGGUGUUUGGCACCUCGAUGUCGGCUCAUCACAUCCUGGGGCUGAAGUAGGUCCCAAGGGUAUGGCUGUUCGCCAUUUAAAGUGGUACGCGAGCUGGGUUUAGAACGUCGUGAGACAGUUCGGUCCCUAUCUGCCGUGGACGUUUGAGAUUUGAGAGGGGCUGCUCCUAGUACGAGAGGACCGGAGUGGACGAACCUCUGGUGUUCCGGUUGUCACGCCAGUGGCAUUGCCGGGUAGCUAUGUUCGGAAAAGAUAACCGCUGAAAGCAUCUAAGCGGGAAACUAGCCUCAAGAUGAGAUCUCACUGGAACCUUGAGUCCCCUGAAGGGCCGUCGAAGACUACGACGUUGAUAGGUUGGGUGUGUAAGCGCUGUGAGGCGUUGAGCUAACCAAUACUAAUUGCCCGUGAGGCUUGACCAU